rnacentral:rRNA from 1 species
AAAUUGAAGAGUUUGAUCAUGGCUCAGAUUGAACGCUGGCGGCAGGCCUAACACAUGCAAGUCGAGCGGUAGCACAGAGAGCUUGCUCUCGGGUGACGAGCGGCGGACGGGUGAGUAAUGUCUGGGAAACUGCCUGAUGGAGGGGGAUAACUACUGGAAACGGUAGCUAAUACCGCAUAAUGUCGCAAGACCAAAGUGGGGGACCUUCGGGCCUCAUGCCAUCAGAUGUGCCCAGAUGGGAUUAGCUAGUAGGUGGGGUAACGGCUCACCUAGGCGACGAUCCCUAGCUGGUCUGAGAGGAUGACCAGCCACACUGGAACUGAGACACGGUCCAGACUCCUACGGGAGGCAGCAGUGGGGAAUAUUGCACAAUGGGCGCAAGCCUGAUGCAGCCAUGCCGCGUGUGUGAAGAAGGCCUUCGGGUUGUAAAGCACUUUCAGCGGGGAGGAAGGCGUUAAGGUUAAUAACCUUGGCGAUUGACGUUACCCGCAGAAGAAGCACCGGCUAACUCCGUGCCAGCAGCCGCGGUAAUACGGAGGGUGCGAGCGUUAAUCGGAAUUACUGGGCGUAAAGCGCACGCAGGCGGUCUGUCAAGUCGGAUGUGAAAUCCCCGGGCUCAACCUGGGAACUGCAUUCGAAACUGGCAGGCUAGAGUCUUGUAGAGGGGGGUAGAAUUCCAGGUGUAGCGGUGAAAUGCGUAGAGAUCUGGAGGAAUACCGGUGGCGAAGGCGGCCCCCUGGACAAAGACUGACGCUCAGGUGCGAAAGCGUGGGGAGCAAACAGGAUUAGAUACCCUGGUAGUCCACGCCGUAAACGAUGUCGAUUUGGAGGUUGUGCCCUUGAGGCGUGGCUUCCGGAGCUAACGCGUUAAAUCGACCGCCUGGGGAGUACGGCCGCAAGGUUAAAACUCAAAUGAAUUGACGGGGGCCCGCACAAGCGGUGGAGCAUGUGGUUUAAUUCGAUGCAACGCGAAGAACCUUACCUGGUCUUGACAUCCACAGAACUUUCCAGAGAUGGAUUGGUGCCUUCGGGAACUGUGAGACAGGUGCUGCAUGGCUGUCGUCAGCUCGUGUUGUGAAAUGUUGGGUUAAGUCCCGCAACGAGCGCAACCCUUAUCCUUUGUUGCCAGCGGUUAGGCCGGGAACUCAAAGGAGACUGCCAGUGAUAAACUGGAGGAAGGUGGGGAUGACGUCAAGUCAUCAUGGCCCUUACGACCAGGGCUACACACGUGCUACAAUGGCAUAUACAAAGAGAAGCGACCUCGCGAGAGCAAGCGGACCUCAUAAAGUAUGUCGUAGUCCGGAUUGGAGUCUGCAACUCGACUCCAUGAAGUCGGAAUCGCUAGUAAUCGUAGAUCAGAAUGCUACGGUGAAUACGUUCCCGGGCCUUGUACACACCGCCCGUCACACCAUGGGAGUGGGUUGCAAAAGAAGUAGGUAGCUUAACCUUCGGGAGGGCGCUUACCACUUUGUGAUUCAUGACUGGGGUGAAGUCGUAACAAGGUAACCGUAGGGGAACCUGCGGUUGGAUCACCUCCUUACCUUAAAGAA